AGUGAACGCUGGCGGUAGGCCUAACACAUGCCAGUCGAACGGCAGCACAGUAAGAGCUUGCUCUUACGGGUGGCGAGUGGCGGACGGGUGAGGAAUACAUUGGAAUCUACUUUUUCGUGGGGGAUAACGUAGGGAAACUUACGCUAAUACCGCAUACGACCUACGGGUGAAAGCAGGGGAUCUUCGGACCUUGCGCGAUUGAAUGAGCCGAUGUCGGAUUAGCUAGUUGGCGGGGUAAAGGCCCACCAAGGCGACGAUCCGUAGCUGGUCUGAGAGGAUGAUCAGCCACACUGGAACUGAGACACGGUCCAGACUCCUACGGGAAGCAGCAGUAGGGAAUAUUGGACGAUGGGCGCAAGCCUGAUCCAGCCAUACCGCGUGGAUGAAGAAGGCCUUCGGGUUGUAAAGCCCUUUUGUUGGGAAAGAAAAGCAGCAGGUUAAUACCCCGCUGUUCUGACGGUACCCAAAGAAUAAGCACCGGCUAACUUCGUG
rnacentral:rRNA from 1 species